rnacentral:rRNA from 1 species
AGUGAACGCUGGCGGUAGGCCUAACACAUGCAAGUCGAACGGCAGCACAGUAAGAGCUUGCUCUUACGGGUGGCGAGUGGCGGACGUGUGAGGAAUACAUCGUAAUCUACUUUUUCGUGGGGGAUAACGUAGGGAAACUUACUCUAAUACCGUAUACGACCUACGGGUGAAAGCAGGGGAUCUUCUGACCUUGCGCGAUUGAAUGAGCGGAUGUCGGAUUAGCUAGUUGGCGGGGUAAAGGCCCACCAAGGCGACGAUCCGUAGCUGGUGUGAGUGGAUGGUAAGCCGCACUGGAAGUGGGACACGGUCCAGACUCCUAAGAGAGGCACCAGUGGGGAAUGUUGGGCAAUGGGCGGAAGCAUGAUCCAGCGAUACCGAGUGGGUGAAGACGGCCUCCGGGUUGUGAAGACCUUUUGUGGGGAAAGAAAAGCAGCCGGCUAAGACCUAGCUGGUCUGACGGUACCCAAAGAAUAAGCACCGGCUAACUUCGUG